GGCGGGCGUCGCAUGCUAAUCACUCAGCGACCAAGUAAGCAGGAAUGCAGCUGCCAAUCAUGUAUGAAAAGAAAUUGUUUAUGGAAUGUGGGAAAGAAUAGAAGCUUCACUCAUGAACAACUUUCACAAUCUUGGGACAUCCCACAGAAGUUGACAGGCCUGUUUCGGCAAAAACAAUUCUGAUUUGAUGGAGACGGACGUGAGAGUAGGGAGGAACAUCUGGAAAACUUCUGAAAUGCCUGCUUCGCUGCUGCUGCUACUGUGUGGUAACUGGAAACUCUGGAGCAGAAGGCCCCAAAAUCCUCGGCUUUGCGUGUUUCAGCGGCCGGGUUGAGGUCGAAGCUGCUCGGCAGAGGAUGGCGCUCGGGAGGCUGUAUUGGAGAGGCUGGUCGGAAUCUCGAAGUUUUCGGACGGGUGGACUCAGUGUUGGCUAUGGUUGGCUGCUUCCAAGGCAUCGGCAAUUGACGGUGCCUGGAGGUUUAUGGCAGGGAGUUUCUCCCUUUUGCCGCCUGCUAUCGGGGACUCGGGAGUCGAUCGACUCGGGGACUUUUGAGACUUUAUUUACCGUAUCCAUGGUUUGUUCUUCAUCAAAUUAUGGUAUU